rnacentral:rRNA from 1 species
UACAGAGGUCUCGAGCGUUGUUCGGAUUUACUGGGCGUAAAGGGAGCGUAGGCGGUUUGGUGUGUCGAAUGUGAAAGCCCGCAACUCAACUGCGGAAUGGCAUUCGAAACUACCAGGCUAGAGUACUGGAGAGGAGAGCGGAAUUCUUGGUGUAGCGGUGAAAUGCGUAGAUAUCAAGAGGAACACCGGUGGCGAAGGCGGCUCUCUGGACAGACACUGACGCUGAGGCUCUAAAGUUAGGGGAGCAAACAGGAUUAGAUA